rnacentral:rRNA from 1 species
UACGUAGGGGGCGAGCGUUGUCCGGAAUUAUUGGGCGUAAAGAGCGUGUAGGCGGUUCGGUAAGUCUGCCGUGAAAACCCAGGGCUCAACCCUGGGCGUGCGGUGGAUACCGCCGGGCUAGAGGGUGGUAGAGGCGAGUGGAAUUCCCGGUGUAGCGGUGAAAUGCGCAGAUAUCGGGAGGAACACCAGUAGCGAAGGCGGCUCGCUGGGCCACACCUGACGCUGAGGAGCGAAAGCGUGGGGAGCGAACAGG